rnacentral:tRNA from 1 species
GAGGGUGUAGCUCAAAUAGCAGAGCACAUGCUUAGCAUGCACGAGAUCCUGGGUUCAAUCCCCAGGCCCUCC